rnacentral:rRNA from 1 species
CAGUAGCCGCGGGAAUACAGAGGGUGCGAGCGUUAAUCGGAUUUACUGGGCGUAAAGCGUGCGUAGGCGGCUUCUUAAGUCGGAUGUGAAAUCCCUGAGCUUAACUUAGUAAUUGCAUUCGAUACUGGGAAGCUAGAGUAUGGGAGAGGAUGGUAGAAUUCCAGGUGUAGCGGUGAAAUGCGUAGAGAUCUGGAGGAAUACCGAUGGCGAAGGCAGCCAUCUGGCCUAAUACUGACGCUGAGGUACGAAAGCAUGGGGAGCAAACAGGAUUAGAUACCCCUGUAGUCCCUGUCUCUUAUAC